CACGGUAGGGGAUGGAGCUGAGGGGGAUGCCAGCACUCGCUGUGCCCUCAGCGAUGGGGCACUGACCACCAGCACAAAUAACAACUGUUGCAGGUGAUAGCAGGGACCACCCCUUUUUGCAGCACGACUUCGCAAUUUUUACAUUACAGCCAGGUGUUAGGAGGAGAAGGCUGCAGGUGGGCUUCAGCUGUGGCCCUCUGGCUUGUUGCUCGGUGGGGCACCCAGGGCACGUCCCCUCCAGCUGCUGCUGAUCACACAGGGCUACCUCAUAACAGCACGGGCCAGCAGCAGCCCAGGGCUGAGCUUGCUGUGAGCAGUGGUAGAUUGUGCUCCUGUAGCAGCUUGGCUUGUACAGUUUUGGCUUUACCUUGGUGCUUUUUGGGUGCUAGAAGCUGGUGUUGUGUGUGGAAGGGCUCCUGGGACUGGUGGUGCUGCGGUACCAGCCUCCAUACGUGGUCUGAUCUAGUUGCCACAACCUUGUACGUGCACCUGAACCGGCUUUGCUUCUUCUGGUUGGAUCUGGGCGGACAAUGCCUGUGGUCUUCACGCUUGGAUGGCUCAGAAAGAUUUCUCUCUGGAGCUGCCAUUGGUGCCAGAAACUUCCAGGACUACACCAGGUCUGUGCAGAGCAGGGCCAGCAGCUGCAGGCACCCUGAGCACUCCCAGUACCAGGGAGUGGGGGCCUGUCCUUGUAAGAAAGCUGAAGGUGGCCUGGCCUGGCUUAGGAGGGACUGAGACUUUUACAAGGACCUUCACCUGUGUGGGGUGCUGAGCCAGAGGUGACACCUCCUCUCGGCUCGUGCACCUCCUUGACUGCGCUGCUGCUCGUGGUGGAGACGCCUGGAUGCUUGCGGGGAGCAGCUCUGCUGUGGGGCAGGCUCGUGCUAUUUGAGGAGAAACUCGUGAAGAGGUGCCUGAUUGCGACUGAUAAUGGUAAAAGUUUCCUUGACUCCAGCACUGGUGGAUUGAGCCUCUGAUGGGAACCUGUUGCCUUCAGCACUGGGCGCCUGCAUGUACAGAUCUGUGGAAGUGGUUUUGGCAAUGCUGCCGUGCCUAUUUCCAGCCCAGGAGGAGUCACUUCUGUUUGGGAGAAAAAUAUACCGAGCGUGAGGCCCUGAAAAUAGCUAGCUUGUCUCUUCUUCCUUUAGGGAUCAACUCUGGAAAUAAAACCCUGAUGGUGACUGUCCCACUGAUGUCUGUAA